UGCCCUUAUCAUUUUCUGCUCAGAUGCUGUGGAUGCAGAUGUCUAUGGAUGGAUGUUUUGGUGUCUAAUUCCCCCUUCAUUAAGCCUCACAGCAGUGUGUUUUUAAUCCAAAAAUGCUCAGAUAUUCAGUAAAGCUGCCUUAAAGCAAACACACAUAAUUACAGCUGAGAGCCCUGUAUUGGAGUGUGUGAUUGUAUAUUGCUUGUGUAGAGUGUCAAGCGUGCGUGCUGCACAUUGUGCCUGGAGAGAUUGAUGUUUUGUCAUCCACCUGCUUCUAAGCUGUAAAGGCAAGCGCAGCAAAGGCAAACCUACCCAGCUUCAAAAUCCAAACAAAGAAAUCUUAGUGGGCUGUUUACAUAUCUGUGCAAGGAUAUCUGUGCUUGUGUUGACGGGGUGCUAGAGUGGCUGAGAGAUCAGUCCCCGCACAAUGGGUUUUCUUUGAAGUACCCUGUGUAAACAUACCUCUGAUUGGGACUCACUGAUGUAAUGGACAAACAAGCACAAAAUGUGUCGAUAUCCAGAUCAAAUCUCCCAGUCAGAGGACGAUGGUGUAAGAGGAACUCAGAAGGCCGAGGAUGAGAUUAAAAAAGCGAAUUUGGGCGACAACGCUCAGACUAGAUAUAAGCUCUAGUGGUGUUGGUUGUGUUCUGGAAGACCUGAGGGACACAACGGCUACCAUGCACAUCUGCAUCCUGUAUGUGGCUGAGGGGGAGCCUCACGGAUUUAUGAAGAAUCCAGAAAUGUGUGUCAUCAUUAUGGAAAAAGGGCGACACAGAUCCACUGAUUGGUGGAGUUUGGAUCAGAGCACAGGAAGAAGUCAAGCUAAGCAGUCACAAGCAAGAGAACAUUCGGCUCCUCUCUCAUCCGCCACAUACUUGACCCACAGUAACUCCGCUUUGACAGAGCAUCACAGCUUUUCUGUCUUUGUUGAAGAAGGCUGA
rnacentral:lncRNA from 12 species